GUCUAUAUAUAUAUAUACUUAUAUACUCAAAGUUCAACGUAGAGUAAUCUGCAGCCCUCAUCCCUCCGCUGUAUGUAUGCGCGGGCUUCGAGUCCUCAAGCGAGGGUGACAUCCGUAUCCGUAUAGAUACGAUGAUUACACACAUGUAUAGGUAAGUCGGUAGUUAUAUACGUACGUGUAGUUAGUUAGACACGUAGGUAUAUAGUAAUAUUUCGCAUUACCCUAUACGUUACCUAUAUUACACGUAGGAAGAGUAUAU
rnacentral:misc_RNA from 1 species